UUAUUUCUAACUUUUAUCAGAUUUGCUUGCGGUGAUAAAAGUUAGCGAUAGGAAUCUUAACUAACGUAUUGCUUCGCCGUGAUAUCACCGAAGCAAUGCGUUUUUUU
rfam:Lactobacillus saniviri JCM 17471 = DSM 24301 NODE_39, whole genome shotgun sequence.